AACGCACAUUGCGCCCCUUGGUAUUCCGAGGGGCAUGCCUGUUCGAGCGUCAUUACAACCCUCAAGCAUUGCUUGGUAUUGGGCUCCGCUGCUCACCCAGCGGGCCUUAAAAUCAGUGGCGGUUCCGUCGAGGCCCUGAGUGUAGUAAAUAUCCUCGUUAUAGGGACUCGGUGGACGCUGGCCAUCAACCCCCAACUUUCUAAGUUUGACCUCGGAUCAGGUAGGGAUGCCCGCUGAACUUAA
rnacentral:misc_RNA from 1 species